UACAGAGGGGGCAAGCGUUAUUCGGAAUUAUUGGGCGUAAAGGGCGCGUAGGCGGCCAGGCAAGUGGAAGGUGAAAUCCCUCGGCUUAACCGAGGAACUGCCCUCCAAACUGCUUGGCUUGAGACCGGGAGAGGUGAGUGGAAUUCCCAGUGUAGCGGUGAAAUGCGUAGAUAUUGGGAGGAACACCAGUGGCGAAGGCAGUGUCCUGGGGAGUACCUGACGCUCAGGUGCGAAAGCCAGGGGAGCGAACGGG
rnacentral:rRNA from 1 species